UGUAAUUGGAAUGAGUUAAGUAUAAACCCCUUUACAAGUAUCAAUUGGAGGGCAAGUCUGGUGCCAGCAGCCGCGGUAAUUCCAGCUCCAAUAGCGUAUAUUAAAGUUGUUGCAGUUAAAAAGCUCGUAGUUGGAUUUCUGUUAAUAAUUUGUAUAAAAUAUUUUGAAUAUUUAUAUAACAUUAACAUAAUUCAUAUUACUAUAUUUUUUAGUAUAUGAAAUUUUACUUUGAGAAAAUUAGAGUGCUUAAAGCAGGCAUAUGCCUUGAAUACU
rnacentral:rRNA from 1 species